GUGCUGCUUCUAGAAAACCCCUUUAUUAGAAAGCAGCAUGAAACCAGCGUUGGGAUAUAAGAGGAUGUGCUUUGUUAAAAGAAAACCUCUUUCUAAUACUCCCAACCAAAGAGCCAGAGGUCUUGUCUAACUAAAUGCCACCUUUCUGUGAUUCUUGGAGCUUCAUCUUCAAAGACUGAGAGGAUCCUCCUUCAUCUGAAACCUCUCAGAAAGGGAAAGGUUGGUCGUGACUUGUCCCCUCAACAAGGAACUUCAGGAACUGCCAACUGUGUUCAGUAACCCUUCUCUGACAGGAUGCUCUCCAGAAAAAUUCCUGCUAGCUUGACUCAGAAGAAGAGCAGCCUGUGCAUGAGCCUGUCCCCCUUGAGAAUUUCCUCUUCCUUCAUUAGUGUCUUGCGAUGGCCACAUUUUCCAUUUCUGUGACUUCCUACCAGCUUUUCAAAUGCUUAACUACAAACUAAAGUUAUUCUGGCAUUGGCAAUGUGAUCUCUGGAUUCUCACAACUAGCUUUCCUCAAGAUGAAUAUUGGGACGAGUUUGGUAGCAGACUGUAUGAUAAGGAGCACUGGAGUGGGAGUCAGAAAGCAUUGUGAACCCUACAGGGCAAGUGACUUCAUCUCUCUCAAUCUCAUUGUCAUCAACCGUAAGUGAGAGUGAAUGAAGGAUGCUCCCAACUGUCAAACCCUGUAAGUCAAGAAAACCUGUGCUCCAGAGGAGAACAUGAACAUUGGCAAAAAGUGAACUAAAGCUUCUGCUGCACCAUGAACCCAAGAAUUGUAGACAUAUCCCAGUGGCCAGAUGGCUGACUACCCACCAAGUCUACCUUCCCAUUCUCUCAAGGUAAUGAGCUAGCUGUAGCCCAAUAUGUGACCUCUCAGUUGGUGGCUAUGUUUCAAGAGCCACUUGCAGGUGUGUGUCUGAGUUCCUUCCAGUGGAAUGUGAGCAGAAGGGACAGGAGACAUUUCUAGGCCCUGGGUCUGACACACAGCCUUCCCUGUGGUUGGUGCUGAACUACAGAGUAGCCGAAGACCAACUGGCUUUGAGCAUACAGGUGCAGGACUACUGUAUGAGAGAUGAAAAACCUUCUUUGUCCUUAAAAUGAACUUUUUCCCUAAAAUUACAUGUAGACCUUGGGGCUCAUGCAUAAGAAUUAAAGAGAAAGUGGGAA
rnacentral:lncRNA from 1 species